UGGGCAUCUUUGUACCCCUAAUUCUACUCCAGAUACUUGUCCAUUUUUACCUCUCAUCUCACUCUUUUUCUUUAUUUGUCGAGGUUCCGGGCACUUGCCCCUUUUUAUUUCCUCGCAUAUUUUUGUAUAACCCAUGCCUCUUCUGCACUGAAUCUUUUUUAGAGAGAGAGAAUAACAAUACUUGGGACAGUGAGUGAUAAUUUUUUUAGCAAUUUUAAUGGAUGGUGGUGGAUGAUGUAGUAGAUGUGUGCAAGUGAGU
rnacentral:lncRNA from 1 species